rnacentral:rRNA from 1 species
UACGUACCGUCCAAACGUUAUUCGGAAUCACUGGGCUUAAAGAGUUCGUAGGCGGCUCAGAAAGUUGGGUGUGAAAUCCCUCGGCUCAACCGAGGAAUUGCGCUCAAAACUACUGGGCUAGAGGGAGAUAGAGGUGAGCGGAACUGAUGGUGGAGCGGUGAAAUGCGUUGAUAUCAUCAGGAACACCGGAGGCGAAGGCGGCUCACUGGGGCCUUUCUGACGCUGAGGAACGAAAGCCAGGGGAGCGAACGGG